CGCAGGGUGGAGCAAUUGGCAGCUUGUCGGGCUCAUAACCCGAAGGUUAGAGGUUCGAAUCCUCUCCCUGCUA
rnacentral:tRNA from 1 species